GGCUCCUUCUCUCUGCUGUGUUUGGCUUCCAUCCCUUCCAGAUACCCGCCACCUUCCCUGCCCCCACCAUCUGGGCGGCCUUUUCUCUGGCAGGGCUCAGAAUGUUCACUUCCUUUCCCCUCCCCCAGCACAACUGCUCUCUAGAUGGUCUCAGUCCUCCAGAUAUUAAACCCUGGCUCCCAGAGUUGCGAUCCCACUGUCUGAGCUGAGGGGCUACUGAUGGGGUGAGGAAUUCAUUUGGGAAAUCUGUGCCUCAUUAACGAUGAUGACAGCUAAGGAGGAGGAGAGUUCUGUGGCUGCUGUCCCCGGCCCACCAUCCAUUGUCCUGGAAGUCCCACCGCCAGCAUCCUCUCCUCCCUUCAGUGAUAAAUCUUUGCAUAGUGGUUGAGAAAGACGGCCCUGGGAACCUACUGGCUGUGUGACCUCAGGCAGAAGGAGAACACACUGCUGAGUGGGACUCAGGAUCCCUCCUGCACUGGAUGACAAAGGAUGGACAGGGCUGGGCUGCGAUGAGAUGAGAGAUGAAGCCAGCUCCUGCACUGCAUUUGGCCCAGUGCCUGGCACAGAGAGAGAGAGCUCGGGAAGGCCAUGUGAGCACACAGAGGGAAGAUGGCCAUCUGCAAGCCAGGAAGAAGGUUCUCACCAGAAACUGAAUUGGUCUGUACCUUGAUCUUGGACUUCCGGCUUCCAGGACUGUGAGAAAUAAACGUGUGUUGUUUAAGCUA